CCCAUUUAUUUUAGCCAACAGCACCUUUGCCAUACAGUUAGCUCCAACUGCUUGUUAGUUUCGCACUAUUUGUCUAUAUCUUGCAAUAAUUCCCUCCUGAUCUCUACUUUUUGCAUCACAAAUGACAUGACAAGGAGCCUUGAUAGUACAGAGGUUUAGUGCACCCUGUUAUUAACACAGCUGCCUGCAAUUUCUGCUGGUUCGAAUCUCUCCAAGGUUCAAGGUUGACUCAGCCUUCCAUCCUUUCUAAGUAACCUGCACAGUCAUUUUGGGUGGCCUCCAAAUCCAGUGCACUCCUGGUAGAGGGCGCCUAUUGAGCCCAGCCAUGGCUCGCCACAAGACCGUUCACACACACAACGCUCCUGCAACGAUGCCAAGAGGGGAUGUGCACUGGGUGGCUAGGUUUUGGUGGUGGCGGCGGGUCACAAGUGGACUAUUGGUGGUGGUAGAAGGAGUGCGAGAAGAGGGGAGGCGUGGACAACGGAUCAACAUCAUCAUGGCUUUGGGAGCAUCGUGAUCCUGUAUCCUGGCUAGAACAAGCAGGAAGCGGCUGCCGAUAACUCCAAACAACUGAGAUGUGCUACGAGGGUGGGGCACGGGCAGCGCAGCUUGUUUAAAUUGCGCUGAGCUGCAGUUGCUCUCAGCGCCGACUUUGUAUGGAGAAUACUCGUCUUUUCCUGAUUCCCGUGUAUAGCGAAUUAAAACCAAGCACUGAUCAUCCAAA